rnacentral:rRNA from 1 species
UACAGAGGGUGCAAGCGUUAAUCGGAAUUACUGGGCGUAAAGCGUGCGCAGGUGGUCUCGCAAGUCGAGUGUGAAAGCCCCGGGCUUAACCUGGGAAUUGCGCUCGAAACUACGAGACUGGAGUGUGGCAGAGGGGGGUGGAAUUCCGCGUGUAGCAGUGAAAUGCGUAGAGAUGCGGAGGAACACCGAUGGCGAAGGCAGCCCCCUGGGCUAACACUGACGCUCAGGCACGAAAGCGUGGGGAGCAAACAGG